GGCGGUCGCGCUUCCCGUUUCGUCAGGCUCAUAACCUGAAGGUCGUAGGUUCAAAUCCUACCCACGCAACCA
rnacentral:tRNA from 1 species